rnacentral:misc_RNA from 1 species
AUGAAUAAACUUGUGUGGGUUGUUGCUGGUCUCUUCGGAGGUAUGUGCACGCCUGCCAUUGUUUCAUUCUCCCUUCCACCUGUGCACUUUUUGUAGGCCUUUCCAGGUCUAUGUUGCUUCAUUUUACCCCAACUGUAUGUCAUUAGAAUGUUGUGCCUAUAUAACAUAUA